rnacentral:tRNA from 1 species
AGGAUUAUAGUUUAUUAAAACAUUUGAUUUGCACUCAAAAGAUAUUAAAUUUUUAAUUUAUCUUA